rnacentral:rRNA from 1 species
UACAGAGGGCCCAAGCGUUGUUCGGAUUCACUGGGCGUAAAGGGUGCGUAGGCGGUCGGGUAAGUCUGAUGUGAAAUCUCCGGGCCUAACCCGGAAACUGCAUCGGAUACUAUUCGGCUGGAGGGUUGGAGGGGGGACUGGAAUACUGGGUGUAGCAGUGAAAUGCGUAGAUAUCAAGUGGAACACCAGUGGCGAAGGCAGCUCUCUGGGACGGUACUGACACUGAGACGCGAAAGCGUGGGGAGCGAACAGG